rnacentral:rRNA from 1 species
AUGAUGGACCAGCGGUGGCGCCCGACGGUGAACGAGCGGGAGUUCAUCGAGCAGGCCCUCCAGUCGGACCUCCGCGUCGACGGCCGCCGCCCCUUCGACUUCCGCCCCUUCGACUUCCGCAAGCUCACAAUCUCCUUCGGCAGGGAGGACGGCUCCGCGGAGGUGCUGCUCGGCGAGACGUGCGUGAUGGGCUAUGUGACCGCCCAAUUGGUCCCGCCGUACAAGGACAGGCCGAACGAGGGCACGCUCGCCAUAUUCACCGAGUUCUCGCCCAUGGCUGAUCCCGCCUUUGAGCCGGGGCGGCCCGGGGAAGCGGCGAUUGAGCUGGGUCGUGUCAUCGAUCGUGGCCUAAGGGAGAGCAGAGCCGUGGAUAUGGAAUCCUUGUGUGUUGUUGCGGGGAAGCAUGUCUGGGCGGUGCGCGUUGACCUUCACAUUCUGGACAAUGGGGGGAAUCUCAUCGAUGCAGCUAACAUCGCUGCAUUGGCAGCUUUGUCUACAUUCCGGAGGCCUGAAUGCACGGUUGGUGGGGAUGAUGGUCAGCAAGUCACAGUACAUGACCCUGAGGUCAUGGAUCCACUUCCCCUAACAAUUCAUCAUCUCCCCAUAGCUGUAACCUUUGCAUAUUUUGGUGACGGUAAUAUCAUGGUUAUCGAUCCAACAUACAAGGAAGAAGCUGUUAUGGGAGGAAGGAUGACAGCUACGGUUAACUCGAAUGGUGAUGUCUGUGCCAUUCAGAAAGCUGGUGGAGAGGGUGUCAUGUCAAGUGUUAUCAUGCAGUGUUUAAGGAUUGCUUCGGUUAAAGCUGCUGAUAUCACAAGCAAAAUAAAGACCAAGGUCGAUAAGUACACUACUGAUAAGGCAUUGCAGAAAGUAAAGCGUACUCCAGCAAUAGUUGCUAAAGAAGUUAACGUUCCUGAUGUCGCUAUGAAGGAGAGCAUGCAUAGUGCAAUGGAAAACCAAACCUCGAAGGCACCCAAUGAUGAUCAGCAGAUAAGUGAAGAUUCACCAGCUGUAGCAAAUGACAAAAAGCAUGAGGAUGUCGAGCCAGUGUUGAUUGAAUCUAAUCCAGAGGUGAAAAGUGUGUCAAAUUCUGGAAGUGCUGGAGAGUCAGAUGAGGUCAAGGAAAGCAGAUCACCGGAGAGUCUAGUAGAUGCUGUCAAACCAAAACAUAAAAGGAAGAAGAAACAACAUGGCAAGAGUUAG